rnacentral:rRNA from 1 species
AGUGAACGCUGGCGGUAGGCCUAACACAUGCAAGUCGAACGGCAGCACAGUAAGAGCUUGCUCUUACGGGUGGCGAGUGGCGGACGGGUGAGGAAUACAUCGGAAUCUACUUUUUCGUGGGGGAUAACGUAGGGAAACUUACGCUAAUACCGCAUACGACCUACGGGUGAAAGCAGGGGAUCUUCGGACCUUGCGCGAUUGAAUGAGCCGAUGUCGGAUUAGCUAGUUGGCGGGGUAAAGGCCCACCAAGGCGACGAUCCGUAGCUGGUCUGAGAGGAUGAUCAGGCAAACUGGAACCGAGACACGGUCCAGACUCCUAAGGGAGGCAGCAGUGGGGAAUAUUGGACAAUGGGCGCAAACCUGAUCCAGCCAUACCGCGUGGGUGAAGAAGGCCUUCGGGUUGUAAAGCCCUUUUGUUGGGAAAGAAAAGCAGCAGGUUAAUACCCCGCUGUUCUGACGGUACCCAAAGAAUAAGCACCGGCUAACUUCGUG